CGGGACGUGGCGCAGCCUGGCAGCGCGCUACACUGGGGGUGUAGAGGUCGCAGGUUCAAAUCCUGUCGUCCCGA
rnacentral:tRNA from 1 species